AUGGGCAACGCGGGCAGCAACGGCGGGGGAGGCGGCCCGGGCCACCGCCGCCGGAGCUCCGGCCACGGCCACGGCCACCACCACCAGGCGCCGCCGCCCCCGCAGCAGCCGGAGGCCGCGCCCAACCGCUACGUCUUCGCCGCCGCCACGCCCUACCCGCCGCAGUACCCCAACCCCAACCCGCCGCAGUACUACCCGCAGUACGGGAACUACUACCCGCCGCCGCCGCCCUCCGUGCAGGUGCCCCUCCCGGCGCCCUACGACCAUCACCACAGGGGCGCCGCGCCGCCGCCCAACGUGCCACCCACGGAGUUCCCGCCCUCCGUCCACUCGCACCACUACCCCGGCUGGGCCGGACGGUACCCUUACGGGCUCCAGCCGCCCAUGCCCACGCCCUACGUCGAGCACCAGAAGGCCGUCACCAUCCGCAACGACGUCAACCUCAAGAAGGAGACGCUCCGGAUUGAGCUCGAUGAAGGCUGUCCCGGCCGCUUCCUCGUCGCCUUCACCUUCGAUGCCACCGUCGCUGGAAGCAUGACUGUCUACUUCUUUGCAAAGGAAGAGCUCAACUGCAAUCUAACAGCGAUGAAGCCAGACUUGAUUAAGCCUGUUACUGUUAGCUUCAAAGAGGGUCUUGGCCAGAAGUUUAGGCAACCUUCAGGGACAGGAAUUGACUUCUCAGCGUUUGAGGACUCUGAGUUGUUGAAACAGGGGGGAAUGGAAAUAUAUCCACUUGCAGUUAAAGCUGAAACAACAUUGGCUGCUGAUCAACCAUCGGAGGGGGAAGACCAGAAACCCAAAACUCCAAACUCGCAGAUCACACAGGCUGUGUUUGAAAAGAAAGAAAGCGGUGACUAUCAAGUACGAGUUGUUAGUCAGAUCCUUUGGGUGAAUGGCACCAGGUAUGAAUUGCAGGAAAUAUAUGGGAUAGGAAACUCUGUGGAAGGGGACACUGAUGCAAAUGAUCCUGGGAAAGAAUGUGUCAUAUGCCUCUCAGAACCUAGGGAUACUACUGUCCUUCCAUGUAGGCAUAUGUGUAUGUGCAGCGAGUGCGCCAAGGUCUUGAGGUACCAGACCACCAGGUGCCCCAUCUGCCGUCAGCCGGUCGAGCGGCUGCUGGAGAUCAAAGUGAACAACAAAGCUGAAGAGCCGCCCCAGCAGACGUCCCAGUCGCCUCCGCUACCUCCACCCCCUGCUCUGCAUCAGGAAGAGAUGUAG
rnacentral:rRNA from 1 species